GGCCCCGGGGCGGGGGGGGGGCGCGGCCGAAGCGCGGAGGUUCCGCGGCUGCUGUGGGCUCCGCUGCCGGGGCUUCCCCCCCCCCCCCCCGCAGUCUAAAGGGGGAAAGAAGAAGGAGGCGGUGGUGCGGGGAGGAGGGAGUGUGAUUGAAGAGAGCGGAGGGAAGGAAGGAGGGGAGGAGAAGAGAGGAGGGGAAAGGAAAAAAAAAAAAAAAAGAAAAAAAAAAACCAACCCAAAAAAACAACCAACCCAAGAAAGGAGGAGGAGGAGGAGGAGGAGGAGAGGCAGGAAGGAGGAGAGAGAAGGGGAAAAAAAAAAAAAAAAAUCAAAAAAAAAAGAACCACCGAGCCAGACGCGCCGGCAGCACGGAGAGGGUCGCCGGCGGGCUGCCCCCGCACCCACCAGCCGGAUCAAGACUCCGUGUGUGUGUGUGUGGAUUAAAACCUUUGGGAAGAAGGAGGAAAAAAAAAAAAAAACCCAAACCGAAAAACCAAACAAACCCCAAACCCCGCAUCAGGACGACCUGGGCUUUAAAAAGGGAUACAACACUC